AUGGUUUGGGCGCCCCCAAAAAUCAAGUUCUUUGCUUGGCUAGAAAUUCAAAUCCAUGUUUGGACCGUCGACCGCUUGGCCAAGCGAGGUUGGGACAAUUGCGGACUUCGACCGUUCUGCAAGAGGGGGCAAGAGUCCGUUGCACAUCUCUUUUACAAGUGUCGUUACACGUUAAGACUUUGGGAAAUGUUGAAAGAUCACCUCUAAUAGGAUAGCAUGGAUAUUGCCACUUGGCCGGUGGAAAGAUUGAUCAAGGAGUGGUAGACAUCCAUAUCUAGUGUGACGAUAGUGCAUAGGAAAGCAAUGGCCUCCUUAACAAUGCUUGUUUGUUGGACUAUUUGAAACGAGAGUAAUGCAAGGAUAUUCUGCAACAAGUUCAAGACACCUAACAUCCUACUUACCAACAUAAAGGGCGAGGCUAAGCUAAUUUUGAGUCAUUUAAUGCCGGGAGAGUAA
rnacentral:rRNA from 1 species